AGAAUUAAUUCUCUGGUUCACAGCCUUCCGCCGGGUCGGGAACGGACCGGAGCGGGCGGAGCAGAUCCCUGAGGCGGAGCGCGGAGCUGUCUGAGCGCAGCCGGAGAGCCUGGGCGGGCGGUCUUGGAGAGGGCGCAGACGCCCAGAGAGCCCUAGGCCAGCUGCAGAAUGAGGUCGUCUCACUGUGACUCAACGAAAGCACUGAGGAAGCCUUCUUCCCUGGCUCCUUCCCUGCCAUCCACUCAGGAGACUCUGUGCCUGGCCUGUCACAGUGAGGCUGCCGUGCCUUCCACCACCUUCGCAGACAGAUGGUCGCCGCCACCGGUCCUCCUCCUCUUCCUCCCCUCCACAGUUCUAUCACCUUCUAUGAACUGAUGAGGACAUCCUGACCCUACCCACCUGAGGCAGAGGCAAUUUUUUAAAAAUUAAAAAAAAAAAAAAAAGGAGCCAACACCGCAAAGCAAACCAACCCAGGGUGAGUGACAGAGAGAACCAAAGGCUGAUGUUGGAAAGCAAGGGAUGAUGGUGGUGAGAAGGCCUGCAAGCUACUUCGCAGAUUUAAGGGACAAUUGCUCCAGGUCAAGCAGAAGAACAGGAUCAAGGAAGGACUCUGCAAGCCCAAAACCACAGCCAACAUGCUGAACACAAUUUUAGUUAUCACAAUUUGAAGGUGACUUUUUAAAAGGUACAUAAAGUAAGAAAAGAAAAAUAAAGAAACCCACUGUUUUUUGGAGGAGGAGCAAAGAUGGCAAAUAGAUAACAGCUGGCUACAGAGGCUCCCUGAAAUAGUCAACAUAGAAUUCAACAUAAUACAGAGUGGAGAGCCCCAAACAGAGGGAGAUGAAUUCUCUCAUCCCAAGAAAAAAAUUAAGGUGAGGAGAAUGAACCAAACAUACAGUCCCUGUGCUUUUAUUGGAACAGCUAAAGGUUCAGUGUUCCCGCCACAGUGGGUGACUUGUUGACCAUCCGAGGUCCUGCCAUGACUUGCCGAGGUCCUGCCACAAUAUGCCAAGCUGUCUGAGGUCCCUCCACUUCAACUCACUGGAGGCGCAGUUACAUUGAGUUCGGGGGUUGGUGAGCCAAACGGAGAGCUGAGUUGGCACAGUGCCUACAUUGACCUGUGGUGAGUGACAGGAGUGGAGCCAUUCCACAGAAAGGGGGGGUCCGGAGGAUGACAUUCUGGGGCCGGACAGGACUGGCAAAUACAAGGGGCAGCUGUGAAUUCAGUCACUUGUUCCCUUCCUGAAUGGGAUUGGUGGAGUGAGCUAGGCCUGGGUCACAUGACGUGGCUGAGACUCAAUAGGUUAUCUGAAAUCAAGUCCCUAUAGCGGUGGCACACAUUAACCACAUUAACCCAGUGAAGCCUCAGAAGUUUGCCACAUUAACCCAGUGAAGCCUCAGAAGUUUGACCCGGAGGGGAGACGAUGCAAAGUAAUACAGUGCAGGCCUUAGCAGCUUGACCUAUCAGGAAGGGGAGGGGCCAGCAUACUCUGUCCCUGUCUGCAACUCACUAGCACAAGGUAGUGGGAAAGGUCAUCUAGCCAGCAUGCUUCAGAAGAAUUGUACAAAGAAAGAAACUGGGGCUUCCUGGAAGAAGCAAAAAAGAUGGGAAGAGGAAACAACAACAAAAAGUCCCCAGGUCCCAACCCUGAGAACAUUGACCCAGGACAGGGAAAUACAAAGGAGAAUGAGAACAGCAAACAUGCAAUAUCAGACACUGCGCCAGUGGACAUAAAGAGAUACAUUUGGGACUUUACAGAUGAAUUCAAAAGUGAAAUAUUUAGCCAAGUAAAGCAAGAUAUAAGGAGAUCAAUAAAAGAGAUACUAAGCACCCCUCAAGCAGACACAGCCAGAAGAAGGGAGGAACUCAAACGAAGGAGAGAACCAUUUGGUGAAGAAUAUAAAAAAUAUAUAGAAUACAUGAAUCAGAUUCAAAGAGAUUACCAGGAAAUUAAAAACUCUAUGGAAAGAUGGCAAAUCAGCUUGAAAAAAACUAAGAAUAGAUUAUCCAAACUGGAGGACAAUUUUGCAAUGUGGGAUUAUGAAAGAGAAAACUUCUUAAAAAUAACAAGGAAACAAGCAGAAACAAUACAAAGGCUAGAAGAUGACAAGAGGAUCUAUAAUUUGAGAAUAAAGAAUGUGAAUGAAGAAGCAGGAGUACAAACAAAGGAACUACAAAGGCUAUUCACAGAAAUAAUUAAGGAAAACUUCCCAAACAUAAGAAAAGGAAAUGAUAUUCUGAUAUAUGAAGCAUACAGAACUCCAGCCACCUACAACCAAUCAGAGCUAAACCCAGGCAUAUAAUAAUCAAGAUCCCAGAACUUCAAUAUAAGAACAGAAUAUUAAAAGCUGUUAGAGACAAGAAACAGAUAACCUAUAAAGGAAGGCCCAUCAGAGUAACAGCAGACUUCUUGACACAAACCAUCAAGUCAAGAAGAGCCUGGAGCAAAAUAUUCCAAGCCCUGAAAGAAAAUAACCUCCAUCCCAGAUUGAAAUACCCUGCUAAACUGUCUCUAGAAAUUAAUGGAGAAACAAAAUGGUUCCAAGACAAAGAGGAACUUGGGACAUUUGAAACCACCAAUCCAACUCUACAGAGAAUACUGUAGGGCAUUCUAGAGAGAGAGAAAAGUACCAGGAUUCCAGGAACAGUGGCAGAGAGGCUCUCUGGGACGGGGAUAAAUGGAGCAGAAAAAAACAUGAAGAAAUAAGCAGACAACUGAAGGCAAAAAAAAGAGCAUAACAGAAAUGAGGCAGAGAAGAUUUUAUUCAAAACUCAUAUGAUUGAUAAUAUCAAGUCUGAGAAAAUAGGCAACUACACUGAAGAUAACAAGACUCUUAUGAUACACAUUCUGGUUUAAUAACAGCCAGUUUUUGAAGUUCUAUACUAUAUUCAAAAUUGUGUUUUUAUUAAUAUUGUUAUGUACUCAUAUAUUCAAUUAUACUAGGUCUGAUGAUAUAGCCAAUUCUAUUGGAGAUAACAAGAGACAACACAGGAACCAUGGUAGAACUCUUUAUACAACUAUCUUAUAUGUUUUUUCAUUUCAUGUGUUUAUAGGAAUAUGUUAUGCUUUGUCUUGCUUUGUUUUGUUUCUUCCUCUAAUAUAGAAAGGGUAGAAAUACAUGUUAAGAUUCAUACCUUUGUAGAAUCUAUAAACAGUUUAUGAGAACUGAUCUUAUGACAUAUGAUGAAAUAAACAGAUACUUUGAAGAAAAAGAGACACCUAAAUACCCAGUGUUGAUCCUGGAGUGUCAUAAUAUGAAACCCAGCAAUAGUAUUAUUCUUUGUUCAGAGUGAUAUUAGUCUGCUGGGGUUUAUUCAAUCUCAACAUAAUUGAAAAGAUGGAUAACUGCAUGUAUGUUUAAGUGUAUAGAAUUGAUAACCAUAUUUCUAAGUUUUUGUUGGAUAGUUGAACAGAACUGGUUGCAAUCUCACUGUUUGAAUCCCCACUUUAUAUGCUCCACUUUAGUAUCUUGAAUAACUAUUUUUAAGAAGACAAUCUGGAAUCAUCAACUAGUGAUUUCUUACUGUUUAUUUUUUCUUUGAAAUUAUGCAUUAUUUCUACCCAUUUUCUGUUUUGUUUAGUCUUUCUUUAAAUUAAAUUUUUAAAAAAGACUACAAUACCCAUGCUGAUCACGGAAUGUCAAGAUGUGAAAUCUAGCAAUACUAUUAUUCUUUGUUCAGAAUUAUUUUAACCUGCUUUAGUUUGUUUAAUCUAAACAUUAAUGAAGAUAUGGAUAACUGCAUGUAUGUUUAAGUAUAUAGGAUUGACACCCAUGUUAUUAAGUUUUUGUUGGACAGUUAAACAGAACUGUUUGCAGUCUCACUGUUUGAAUUCCCACUUUACAUGUUCCAUUUUUGUAUCCGAACAACUAUUUGUAAAACGACAAUAUGUAAACAUCAACUAGU